rnacentral:rRNA from 1 species
UCCGAGUUGUAUUUGCAGAGGGUGCUUGGCGUUGGCAGCGGUAUAAGUUCCUUGGAACAGGACAUCGCAGAGGGUGAGAAUCCCGUAUGUGGUCGCAUGCCUCCCGCCGUGUAAAGCCCCUUCGACGAGUAGAGUUGUUUGGGAAUGCAGCUCUAAAUGGGAGGUAAAUUUCUUCUAAAGCUAAAUACCGGCCAGAGACCGAUAGCGCACAAGUAGAGUGAUCGAAAGAUGAAAAGCACUUUGGAAAGAGAGUCAAACAGCACGUGAAAUUGUUGAAAGGGAAGCGCUUGCAGCCAGACUUGCCUGUAGUUGCUCACCCGGGCUCCUGCCCGGGGCACUCUUCUGCAGGCAGGCCAGCAUCAGUUUGGGCGGUCGGAUAAAGGGCUCUGACACGUACUUCCCCUCGGGGUUGACAUACAGGGGAGCCGCAAUGCGAUCAGCCCGGACUGAGGUCCGCGCAUCUGCUAGGAUGCUGGCGUAAUGGCUGUAAGCGGCCCGUCUUGAAACACGGACCAAGGAGUCUAACAUCUAUGCGAGUGUUUGGGUGUCAAGCCCGAGCGCGUAAUGAAAGUGAACGGAGGUGGGAACCCCUUUCGGGGUGCACCAUCGACCGAUCCUGAUGUCUUCGGAUGGAUUUGAGUAAGAGCAUAGCUGUUGGGACCCGAAAGAUGGUGAACUAUGCUUGAAUAGGGUGAAGCCAGAGGAAACUCUGGUGGAGGCUCGCAGCGGUUCUGACGUGCAAAUCGAUCGUCAAAUUUGGGCAUAGGGGAAAGA